rnacentral:rRNA from 1 species
AGCGUAGGCGGACUUUUAAGUGAGAUGUGAAAUACCCGGGCCCAACUUGGGUGCUGCAUUUCAAACUGGAAGUCUAGAGUGCAGGAGAGGAGAAUGGAAUUCCUAGUGUAGCGGUGAAAUGCGUAGAGAUUAGGAAGAACACCAGUGGCGAAGGCGAUUCUCUGGACUGUAACUGACGCUGAGGCUCGAAAGCGUGGGGAGCAAACA